UGGGCAGUAGCUCAGUGGUAGAGCUCCUGCUUCGUAUGCGGGAAGACCUGGGUUGGAUUCCUGGCUGCUUAC
rnacentral:tRNA from 1 species